GCUUCAGUGAGUCCGACCUUUACGGCUGAGAGAGAGACUCUCAGCUUUCGGUGGGUUCCACGGCUAGACGGGCCACCAUCUUACAUUAGGAUCAUUCUGCUGUGUUGCGAAUGGAUUGAAGAAAGACAAGAAUGAAUUUGGAAUAACUAAUUAAGAGAAUAUUUUAGUCAUCCAGAUGGUUAUUCUGAUUGUGGUGGCAGCCAAGACGGAAAAAAGAGAAGAAGGGGAAAGUGAUGAAGAUGGAAGAGCAUGUGUGGAAUGGAUGAGGAGAGCUUCCUGUGAAAGUCAGCAGGACUUCAGAAGAGUAGUGACUGCCCGCUUGAGCUUGGAUGUAACUUUCAACUACUGCUCCAGCACUAUGAGUGCACCAAGGUCCCACCAUGCCCUUGCCAUGAUGAUGAUGGACUAACCCUCUGACACUCGACUGCAUCCACUUCAUUGCUGCUGCUGCAGCUGCCACCACAUCUUUCCCUGACAUUAGAAACCAGCAUGCUUGGUCAUCCAAUGUGGACUGAAGACCAGUGACUCUCCAGGAAUCUUCCAGGCCUUUGGCACCAGAUCGUCUCUGCUGAGGAGGAAUCCAGCCACAUGGACCAAGUAGCUAUUGGGUUCCCAGCUUCUCCAGAGAAUAACUGUGUUUGGAUUAGCCAGUUUAUGGCAUGUUAAGUCUAUCUAAU